ensembl:lncRNA
AAUAAAAUAAAAAGUUCCAUUUCUUAAUGUGGUUUUAAUGCAAGCCUAAUUAUUAUUUUCUGAUUAAUCUGCUUCUAAAUUGUAAUCUGGUCUUCCAGUUUAAAUACAUCUAAUCACCCAGAGUCAGAAUUAAUGUUACACACACAAAGAUGCACAAAGUUGGGGUGGAGGGGUGGGGGGGCUAACACUGUUGUACAAACAGUCCGUGGGGGAGGGGUGGAUUUAAAUUCCAAAAGGGUCUCGCAGCUCGUUUCCUAGUUCCCCAGUCAGCAAUGUGUUUGUGAAAAAUCAGUCUUUUUGUCUUGCUGAAAAAAGGCUAAAUCUACAUUGGUGGCCCAGUCUAAGUUUACUAUUCUUUGCACUUUCAAUACAAGUGAAUGAGGGAGAAUGAAGUGGCCCGAGCCCCCUUAUUUGAUCUACUGGAUUGUAUAAAGUGACGGAAUUCUAAUGUAUUUGCUCAAUGCCCCGAAAUAGGCUGUUGCUUUUCUAUAGAGGAUGCAGAAACGUCACGUUAUUUUUUCAACACUAAAAAAAAAAACAAAAAAAACACACACACACAAAAGUUAAAAAAGCGUAUUUGGCAGCCUACGUAGGUAUCUCCCUCCGUCUGUAUUUACACAACCUGUUGGAUAAUGUCCCCUGAAAUAGAAAAAAAGCACAAGGUUGAAACGUUCAGAUGCUCUUUUUAUAGGAACGAGGGGGGAAAAAAUGAACAUGGCGCUUAUUUAAUUACCCUCUGUGACGUCUGAAGUCGAAAUUAUGUAACACUUAAUUUAGACACUGUUUGCAGCUUUUCUAAAUGUUUAUUGUCGGGCCUAAUCGUGUUUAGCUCAGCUUGAUGAAUGAGCCUGGUUGUCUGCGCUGUGGCCAGGGCAUCGCAGCUCCAUGCAUCCUAAUCGGCUGCACGAUUCAUUUCUCUGCCCACAGCCUCCACUGCCUUUCUCACAUUCAUAAAAUUCGUAAAAUCAUCCAGUUCUGGAUAAAGAUUAUUAUUAUUAUAAUUAUUAUUAUUAGACGGAAAUGUAAAACAAAUCCCCAAAGUUACAUUUACACGAUCAAAAAAGCUGCCAUUUGUAAUGAUAAUAAUAAUAAUAAUAAUAAUAAUAAUAAUAAUAAUAAUAAUAAUAAUAAUAAUAAUAAUUCGUAUCGUCUUAGAUAAAAUCUUCAGAAUCAUUUUGAUUGUUUACUUCACUUUUAAUGAGAAAAUAUUUCGAUGACCAUUUUUUUCCAAUUCAUUGCAGACUGUUGGCACACUUUUCGAAAGCACGCAUGCUUGCAAAAAAAAUUUAAAAAAUUUAAAAAAUAAUAAUAAUAAAAAACAAUUAAAACAACAACAAUACCCACGUCAUCAUCAUCAACAACAACAACAACAACAACAGCAACAACACAAAUUUUAAAAUGCAUGCUUUACCUAAAAAAAAAAGUACAAAUUUACAGCAUCCGAUACACAUGGUCACCACAGCCUUUUAAAUUAAAUGCUUCACAGAACAUUUUCUGGAAAAUAGAUAUCUAAAACAUAAAACUAAAAAGUGCAUUUUACAACAUUUUUAGUAUCAGUUAUUUUCAAUAUUCACAUCUUGCAUUUUGAGGACUUCUCAAAAUUCUACUUUUCAAUAUUGAAAAGAAUUUCGUAACUCGGUUUGCUUUCUUUUUUUCUUACAGGGAUGGUAAGAAGAAAUCUAAACCCUAUUCCUAUUUGGUAUACCCUUAACCAUCAUUCCAGUAUUUUUUUUUCUUUUUAUAAAAAAAGCAAACAAAAAGUCAUUGCCUCGCAAUUUCAUUGACAUUACAGUGGUCACACAGAAACGGUGCAAAAGUUUUGCCAGUUGAUGGAAUUGAGAAACUGCAACGGGGGGAUUUGGAAGCCACCUUCAAAUAAGAGUUGAUACUGCCAAAACAAACUCCCCCCCACCUCCCCACAGCCCUCCAAUUGGAUCCCCUCAGUGGCUCCACUUUCAACACUCGCAUUUUAAAAUAAACUGAAAAAUAGAACUAUCAAAUAAUUUAUGAUUUCAAGAGCAAUACUGUACGAUUCUGUGCUGGACUUGACACAAUUUAAAGCGACACAUUCAAC